GAUGAAGAACGCAGUGAAAUGCGAUACGUAAUGUGAAUUGCAGAAUUCAGUGAAUCAUCGAGUCUUUGAACGCACAUUGCGCCCUCUGGUAUUCCGGAGGGCAUGCCUGUCCGAGCGUCAUUGCUGCCCUCAAGCACGGCUUGUGUGUUGGGCCCCGUCCUCCUUCCGGGGGACGGGUCCGAAAGGCAGCGGCGGCACCGCGUCCGGUCCUCAAGCGUAUGGGGCUUUGUCACUCGCUUUGUAGGCCUGGCCGGCGCUUGCCGAUCAACCAAACUUUUUAUCAGGUUGACCUCGGAUCAGGUAGGGAUACCCGCUGAACUUAAGCAUAUCAAUAAGCGGAGGA
rnacentral:misc_RNA from 1 species